UUUUGGAGGCUUGGAGAAAAUGCCAGCAACAAGGACUUGGAAGGAAAUAAAUCUUUAGAUUCCCUGAAAACACAGAGAGUUAUUGUGGAAGACAUAUGGAGGACCCCAUACUGCGUUAAGAAAGAAAAUUUAUAAAUGUCAGCUUCAUAGCAGCCAUGUCGAAGGGAUUUCAGCAAUCCACACUUAACUACAAUAAGAAAAACAGGCCGCAGGUACACAUUUGCCACGAAGAACUAAUUAUGCUUAACCUGUGCUCUUUCUGGGAGGAGCAAAUGAGGAGAGAAGGAGCUGGGCCUGCUUACUCGGGGCUGAUGGACCAUUUUCUUAAAUAAGGCAUGGCGCUGGUCUGACAUUAGUUUAACAAGAUCUUCAGAAUGAUAAUUAGUGUCAUCAUUGUCAAGUUCAAGUUCUCCUGACUUGUUGAAAAGCCAAAAAUACAUAUUGUGACAGGGAAGUUCCCAUCAAAGAGUAGUAAGGAGAAUACCAAUUGGGAAAGGACAACUUCAUAAAAAUAAACAAGUAUGGCAUAAUGGUUUGUGAAGCUGAUUCUUCUGGAAUGAAUAAUAAAAGCAAAAUACAUGAAGGCACCCAGUUCUGUAAGCUCCUGAAU